GCCAGUGUGGUGUAGUGGUCUGAGCAUUGGACUAUAAUUCUGGAGAUCAAGGUUUGAAUCCCUGCUUGGCCA
rnacentral:tRNA from 1 species